CAUGUCCAAGUAUAAGCAAUUAUACAGCGAAACUGCGAAUGGCUCAUUAUAUAAGUUAUCGUUUAUUUGAUAGUACCUUACUACUUGGAUAACCGUGGUAAUUCUAGAGCUAAUACAUGCUAAAAAUCCCGACUUCGGAAGGGAUGUAUUUAUUAGAUUAAAAACCAAUGCCCUCUGGGCUCCUUGGUGAUUCAUAAUAACUUUUCGAAUCGCAUGGCCUUGCGCCGGCGAUGGUUCAUUCAAAUUUCUUCCCUAUCAACUUUCGAUGUUUGGGUAUUGGCCAAACAUGGUCGCAACGGGUAACGGAGGGUUAGGGCUCGACCCCGGAGAAGGAGCCUGAGAAACGGCUACUACAUCCAAGGAAGGCAGCAGGCGCGCAAAUUACCCAAUCCCGAUUCGGGGAGGUAGUGACAAUAAAUACUGAUACAGGGCUCUUUUGGGUCUUGUAAUUGGAAUGAGUACAAUUUAAAUCCCUUAACGAGGAACAAUUGGAGGGCAAGUCUGGUGCCAGCAGCCGCGGUAAUUCCAGCUCCAAUAGCGUAUAUUAAAGUUGUUGUGGUUAAAAAGCUCGUAGUUGAACCUUGGGCCUGGCUGGCCGGUCCGCCUCACCGCGUGUACUGGUCCGGCCGGGCCUUUCCCUCUGUGGAACCUCAUGCCCUUCACUGGGUGUGGCGGGGAAACAGGACUUUUACUUUGAAAAAAUUAGAGUGCUCCAGGCAGGCCUAUGCUCGAAUACAUUAGCAUGGAAUAAUGAAAUAGGACGUGUGGUUCUAUUUUGUUGGUUUCUAGGACCGCCGUAAUGAUUAAUAGGGACAGUCGGGGGCAUCAGUAUUCAAUUGUCAGAGGUGAAAUUCUUGGAUUUAUUGAAGACUAACUACUGCGAAAGCAUUUGCCAAGGAUGUUUUCAUUAAUCAGGAACGAAAGUUAGGGGAUCGAAGACGAUCAGAUACCGUCGUAGUCUUAACCAUAAACUAUGCCGACUAGGGAUCGGACGAUGUUAUUUUUUGACGCGUUCGGCACCUUACGAGAAAUCAAAGUGCUUGGGCUCCAGGGGGAG
rnacentral:rRNA from 1 species